AGCUCUCGCGGCAGUCGCCUGAGACUUAAGGUUAUUGCUUGGCCGCGGCCUGGUAUUCCGGCGAUUCGUUUCUUGCUCGGCUUCCUGGAGCUGUGGUCCGUGUGGGCUUCCACCUCAGACAGUUGCGCUGGCUCAGCGGGGCCGGAACAUGGCUGCGUCCGGUCUGGAUCAUCUCAAAAAUGGCUACAGAAGAAGAUUUUGUCGACCUUCCAGGGCACGUGACAUUAACACAGAGCAAGGCCAGAAUGUUCUGGAAAUCUUACAAGACUGUUUUGAAGAAAAAAGUCUUGCCAAUGAUUUUAGUACAAAUUCUACAAAAUCAGUGCCUAAUUCAACACGCAAAAUAAAAGACACUUGUAUUCAGUCACCAAGCAAAGAGUGCCAGAAAUCACAUCCAAAGUCAGUUCCAGUUUCUUCAAAGAAGAAAGAAGCCUCUCUACAGUUUGUUGUAGAACCAAGUGAAGCCACAAACAGAUCAGUUCAGGCCCAUGAAGUUCAUCAGAAAAUUCUGGCAACUGAUGUUAGUUCCAAAAAUACACCUGACUCGAAAAAAAUAUCAAGUAGAAACAUAAAUGAUCAUCACAGUGAAGCUGAUGAAGAAUUUUACUUAUCCGUUGGCUCACCUUCUGUUCUUUUGGAUGCAAAAACAUCUGUAUCACAAAAUGUUAUUCCAUCUAGUGCCCAAAAGAGAGAGACUUACACUUUUGAAAAUUCAGUAAAUAUGCUGCCUUCAAGUACAGAGGUUUCAGUUAAAACCAAAAAAAGGUUAAACUUUGAUGAUAAAGUUAUGUUAAAGAAAAUAGAAAUAGAUAAUAAAGUAUCAGAUGAAGAGGAUAAAACAUCGGAAGGACAAGAAAGAAAACCAUCAGGAUCAUCUCAGAAUAGAAUACGAGAUUCAGAAUAUGAAAUUCAACGACAAGCUAAAAAAAGUUUUUCAACAUUGUUUUUAGAAACAGUAAAACGAAAAAGUGAAUCCAGUCCCAUUGUUAGGCAUGCGGCAACUGCUCCACCUCAUUCGUGUCCUCCCGAUGAUACGAAGUUGAUAGAGGAUGAAUUUAUAAUUGAUGAGUCGGAUCAAAGUUUUGCCAGUAGAUCUUGGAUUACAAUACCAAGAAAGGCAGGGUCUCUGAAACAACGCACAAUAUCCCCGGCUGAGAGCACUGCACUCCUUCAAGGUAGAAAGUCAAGAGAAAAGCAUCAUAAUAUAUUACCUAAGACUUUGGCAAAUGACAAACAUUCCCAUAAACCUCACCCAGUAGAGACAUCUCAGCCCUCUGAUAAAACAGUACUGGAUACAAGUUAUGCUUUGAUAGGUGAAACAGUAAAUAAUUAUAGAUCUACAAAAUAUGAAAUGUAUUCCAAGAAUGCAGAAAAACCAUCUAGAAGCAAAAGGACUAUAAAACAAAAACAGAGAAGAAAAUUCAUGGCUAAACCAGCUGAAGAACAGCUUGAUGUGGGACAGUCUAAAGAUGAAAACAUACAUACAUCACAUAUUACCCAAGACGAAUUUCAAAGAAAUUCAGACAGAAAUAUGGAAGAGCAUGAAGAGAUGGGAAAUGAUUGUGUUUCCAAAAAACAGAUGCCACCUGUGGGAAGCAAGAAAAGUAGCACUAGAAAAGAUAAGGAAGAAUCUAAAAAGAAGCGCUUUUCCAGUGAGUCCAAGAACAAACUUGUACCUGAAGAAGUGACUUCAACUGUCACGAAAAGUCGAAGAAUUUCCAGGCGUCCAUCUGAUUGGUGGGUGGUAAAAUCAGAGGAGAGUCCUGUUUAUAGCAAUUCUUCAGUAAGAAAUGAAUUACCAAUGCAUCACAAUAGUAGCCGAAAAUCUACUAAGAAAACAAAUCAGUCAUCUAAGAAUAUUAGGAAAAAAACUAUUCCACUUAAAAGGCAGAAGACAGCAACUAAAGGCAACCAAAGAGUACAGAAGUUUUUAAAUGCUGAAGGUUCUGGAGGUAUCGUUGGUCAUGAUGAAAUUUCCAGAUGUUCGCUGAGUGAGCCAUUGGAAAGUGAUGAGGCAGACUUGGCUAAGAAGAAAAAUCUUGAUUGUUCUAGAUCUACAAGAAGCUCAAAGAAUGAAGAUAACAUUAUGACUGCACAGAAUGUUCCCCUAAAGCCUCAGACCAGUGGAUAUACAUGUAAUAUACCAACAGAGUCAAACUUGGAUUCUGGAGAGCAUAAGACUUCAGUUUUAGAGGAAAGUGGACCUUCCAGGCUCAAUAAUAAUUAUUUAAUGUCUGGAAAGAAUGAUGUGGAUGAUGAGGAAGUUCAUGGAAGUUCAGAUGACUCAAAACAAUCUAAAGUGAUACCAAAGAACAGAAUCCAUCACAAACUAGUAUUGCCCUCCAACACACCAAAUGUUCGCAGGACCAAGAGAACACGUUUGAAACCUUUGGAGUACUGGCGAGGAGAGCGAAUAGAUUAUCAAGGAAGGCCAUCAGGAGGAUUCGUGAUUAGUGGAGUACUAUCUCCAGACACAAUAUCGUCUAAAAGGAAGGCAAAAGAAAAUAUUGGAAAAGUCAACAAAAAAUCUAAUAAGAAAAGGAUCUGUCUUGAUAACGAUGAAAGAAGUAUGAACUUAUUUCUGAAAGUAACUUUUAGAUUUUAUUUUAAAUAGGAGUACUUUGAGAAGAAGCUCUUUGCAAAAUAUGAAAUUUACUUCCAAAAACUUCAGAAAUAAUACCAUAGAGACUAACUUAAUGGUAAAUCUAGGUAUACCUCUUGGAGAUCCUUUGCAGCCAACGAGGGUAAAGGACCCAGAAACAAGAGAGAUUAUUCUCAUGGAUCUUGUAAGGCCACAAGAUACAUAUCAAUUUUUUGUUAAGCAUGGUGAGUUGAAGGUAUACAAGACAUUGGAUACACCCUUUUUUUCUACUGGGAAAUUGAUAUUAGGACCACAAGAAGAAAAGGGAAAGCAGCAUGUUGGCCAGGAUAUAUUGGUUUUUUAUGUUAACUUUGGUGACCUUUUGUGUACUUUACAUGAAACACCUUAUAUAUUAAGUACUGGGGAUUCGUUCUAUGUUCCUUCAGGUAACUAUUAUAACAUCAAAAAUCUCCGGAAUGAGGAAAGUGUUCUUCUUUUUACUCAGAUAAAAAGAUGAAAGAUCAACCAACCUUAAAUAUAUGUAUGUAUAUAUGUAUAUGUGAAAAACAGUUUGUAUAGUUGGAAUAUUUGUCUUUGUAAUUACUUGUGAUGUUUUAAAAUAAAAAUUUUAUUCAGUUUUCUGUAGACUUGUAUUUGAUAAACAUUUCUAACUCACAUGUUUUUUCUGAUUUUUCAGUGACUGUACAUAAUAGCUUGUAGCGAUGUCCAUAUUUAUGAUAUUAUUUUUAUAAUUUGACAAGAAUAUGAAAAUGAAAUAUAGAACAUUUCUGUGUCAAAAGAGACCUGAUUAAUAUGUCUACUCAUUAAAAAACAUCUUUUCCAAAUACUAAUUUUAAAUCAUUUAUUAUUAAAUAAUCCAAUGGGAGAGAACUGUGGUAAAAGGCAUGUUUGUAUUAAUUUCCUAGAACUGCUGUAACAAAAUACCACAAAAUGAGUGACUUAAAGCAACAGAAAUUUAUUAUCUCAGUUCUAGAGGCUAGAAGUCUGAAAUCAAGGUGUUGUCAAGGCCGUGAUGUCUUUGAAAACCUGUAAGGGAGAGAAUCCUUCCUUAUUCCUAACUUCUGGUGGUUUACUGGCAAUUUCUGGCAUUCCUUGGCUUGCACCGGUAGCAUUUCAAUCUACUUGCAUUAUCACAUGGUAUUCUCACCUUGUGUGUCUGUGUUGGCAUGACAUCUAUUUAGUAUAUUACAUGUAAAUGUUUUUCCAUUAUGCUUUUUGGUUCAUAUUUUCUGUUGGAGGCAGUGUCCUUCGCCAUUGCUUUCUGUAUGUGGCCUCAACUUUCCCUUUUUAAUAUCAAUCAAUACAUCUAAGCUAAAAAUUCUAAUCAAGGUUUUUGGUAUGGUUAGCAUAUAAUUCUCAUUAACUCUGAAGAAAUUGAUGUUUUACGGUAAAAAUAUUUUUAGGCCAACUCCCUUUUCAGGUCUUAUUUAACCAUUAAAUACACACAUUUAAAGCAACUCUGGUGUAGGACUUAGGAAGAAUGAAGUGUGAUGGCUCUUUUUUUAUACUUUAUAAUUUUCUAUUGUGAUUUCUCUUUUAUUGAGUCAUUUUUAAUUUUUUUUUUACUUUUAUUUCUUUGAAUAUAUUUGUUAUGAAGUCUUAUUGAAGGCUUGACUAAUCAAGUAUCUGGGCCCAUACAGAUUUAGUUUUCACUGAAUGCUUUUUUUCCUUUAGUAUAUUUCACUUUCAUAUGUUUUUACAUGUCUAAUAAUUUUUGGUUGACAGCUGGACAUUUUAGGUAGCAUAUUGUAGCAACUCAAUUUUGUUUUAUAUCUAAGGGAUUUGUAUUGUUUUAAAUUUAGCAUUUUGACUGGACUCAAAUUGUGGAAUCUAUCUUAUAUAUGAUGUGAAGUUAUUGCUGUCUGUGCUCAGUUUUUAAGUUCUUUAUUUCAAUAUUUAUUCUUGCUUGCUAGGGGUAGUUCCUGUGUCUGCAUAGCUUAGCAGUCAGCCAAUCAUUUGGACAAAGGUUAAGAUCAAACACUUGAGUCUAUAAGCCUUCCACCCACUGUUGGUUGUUCUGUGUGGGAUGGGGGAUGCAUUCAUUGUAGGAGGCAGUUCCCAAAUUCCCCUUGGUUUUUACAUUUGCCAUGCUCUCUUGAGUCUCCCCUGUGCAUGCAUCAUUUCAGUUUGCCAAAGAUGUUUGGAGAGCUCAUGUUACCCUUUUCUGCCCUUCUGUUUCCAGGACCUUGUUAAAUGUCUGGCUGCUCUGUUGCUCUUCAAGAACUAGGACUGUAACCUUUGGUUAGCAACUACAGAUACUCCUUGUCCAUUCCUAAGUGAUUUUUUUACUUUUGACUUACAAAGUUGUAGGUUUAUACCUCUGCUGUAAAUCAAGACUCCUCUUACGGCAAAGUUGCUAGUUUUUCAGUUAGCUACAGCCAGACAAAACUGUAGUUUUUACCAAUCAACCUAGGGGUGGGUGAGACCUCACUCAAGGAGGCCACAGAUUCCAACAGUUCUUUUCCAAAGCUUUAGCAAUAUUUUUUCUUUAUUUUCUUUUUUCUUUUCUUUUCUUUUUUUUUUUUUUUGAGGCAGAGUUUCACUCUUGUUGCCUGGGCUGGAGUGCGAUGGUGUGAUCUCGGCUCACUGCAACCUCCACCUCCCGGGUUCAAGCAAUUCUCCUGCGUCAGCCUCCUGAGUAGCUGGGAUUACAGUUGCUUGCCACCACGCCUGGCUAGUUUUUGUGUUUUUAGUAGAGACAGAUUUUCACCAUGUUGGCCAGGGCUGUCUCGAAUUCCUGACCUCAGGGUGAUCCACCCACCUCAGCCUCCCAAAGUGUUGGGAUUACAGGUGUGAGCCACUGUGCCCAGCUUAAGUGUAGCCUUUCUUUGUCUAAACUGAAAGCCCAUAUGGUUCAGCAAAGGCUCUCCAUUCUGCUUGGUCAGAGCCACGUCUGAUUUUUGCCACCUCUGUACUCUGUUCAGCUCAUAGGCUUCUGUCAUGUCUCAGAAUUUUGCUCUGCACAUUUGCAGCCUACUGUUCAGCCAACUGUUCAGCCAACUUCUAGGGCUAUAAUGGCUGAUACAGUAGUCACAAGUUGUAGCUAUUUAAAAUUAAUUUAAAAUAUUGUUUCUUACUUGCAUUUGCCACAUUUCAAGUGCUUAGUAGCACAUGGUACUGGUGGCUACCACAUUAGAUGUCACAGAUACAAGUUGCAGAAAGUUCUGUUCUUGGGCACCUCGUGCAGAUUUCUGGAGCUCUUUUUCAGUGGAGUUUCCACUUCUGUACCCUGCAUCACAAUUCAGUUUUCUCAACAGCCCUAAAUUGUGAUCUUUCUGUGCCCAUUAAGACCACUGUUCUUUUUGAGCUUAACUCUCUGUGUCCAGUUUUGGAGAGUGCCCCCAGGCAUAAAACUGGGUGACUAUGGAGUUAAUUUCAUGUCUUUAAAGAAUCACAGUCCUGCCUACUUUGUCAGGCAGCCCUCAUGCUCAUGAAGGGUCUUAAAGAAAGAGACUUCUACCCGGGCAUGGUGGCUCAUGCCUGUAAUCCCAACACUUUGGGAGGCUAAGUCGGGUGGAUCAUGAGGUCAGGAGUUCGAGACCAGCCUGGCUAACAUGGUGAAACCCCGUCUCUACUAAAAUACAAAAGUUAGCCGGGCAUGAUGGCAGGUGCCUGUAAUCCCAGCUACUCAGAGGCUGAGGCAGGAGAAUUGCUUGAACCUGGGAGAUGAUGGUUGCAGUGAGCCAAGAUCACGCAACUGCACUCCAGGCUGGGCAGCCGAGCAAGACUCUGACUCAAAAAAAGAAAACAAAAGAAUCACCGUCCUUCACUUUUGUCCAAUGUCUGCAUAGAGUUACCUUUUAUCUUUUUCUAUUUUAAAGUUUGUUGGAGGAGGGCAAAUUUGAUACCCAUUAAUCCAUCGUGGGCAUCACCCAUGAGAGUUUUUUUAAUGAUUUUUCUAAUUUUUAUUGUUGGAUAGGAUUCCACAGUUUGUUGUCCAUUUACUUACCACAUGGAUGCAUGUGUCUUUAAUUUCUUCCAAUGGUUACUUACAUCUAUGUAACUACAAUGCAGAAAACAGGAAUUUGGCAAGGAUACAAUGCAUGUGUAUAGUUCUAUUUCAUCAUAUGUGUGAAUUUGUGUAACUACUGCAAUCAACAUAGAACUGUUUCAUCAUCACUAAUUUGUUCUUCAUCUCUGUAAUAUUGUCACUUAUAUAUUGUUGUAGCAAUGGAAUAAUAUAGUGUAUGACCUUUGGUUUUUCUCACUCAGCAUAAAGCCCUUAAGAUCAUCCAAGCAGUUAUACCUAUCAAUAGCUCAUUUCUUUUUUAUUGCUAAGUGGUAUUCUCUAGUAUGGAUGACUGUACCACAAAUAAAGAUGAAGUGAACACUUCCUACA